CCCGUCUCAGGGUCGCACCUGGAGACUUUCCACUACUCUACCAGUCACGACUAUGGGAGGGAGAGUCAAGCAGAGGCCUACCCAUUCCAUUCCUAGCUUGGCUAGUGGCUAGCAAGUGGAAGGCAAUCUGUUACAAGU